rnacentral:rRNA from 1 species
AUUCGGGAGACAGGUGGUGCAUGGUUGUCGUCAGCUCGUGUCGUGAGAUGUUGGGUUAAGUCCCGCAACGAGCGCAACCCCUAUUGCUAGUUACCAUCAUUAAGUUGGGGACUCUAGCGAGACUGCCAGUGAUAAACUGGAGGAAGGUGGGGAUGACGUCAAAUCAUCAUGCCCCUUAUGACCUGGGCUACAAACGUGAUACAAUGGCUGGAACAAAGGGAUGCGAAGCAGUGAUGUGGAGCGAAACCCAUAAAAACAGUCUCAGUUCGGAUUGAAGUCUGCAACUCGACUUCAUGAAGUCGGAAUCGCUAGUAAUCGCGGAUCAGAACGCCGCGGUGAAUACGUUCUCGGGGUUU